AACGCUGGCGGCAUGCCUUACACAUGCAAGUCGAACGGCAGCNCGGGAAGCAAUCCUGGUGGCGAGUGGCGAACGGGUGAGUAAUAUAUCGGAACGUGCCCAGUCGUGGGGGAUAACGUAGCGAAAGUUACGCUAAUACCGCAUACGAUCUAAGGAUGAAAGCGGGGGACUCGCAAGAGCCUCGCGCGAUUGGAGCGGCCGAUAUCAGAUUAGGUAGUUGGUGGGGUAAAGGCUCACCAAGCCAACGAUCUGUAGCUGGUCUGAGAGGACGACCAGCCACACUGGAACUGAGACACGGUCCAGACUCCUACGGGAGGCAGCAGUGGGGAAUUUUGGACAAUGGACGCAAGUCUGAUCCAGCCAUUCCGCGUGCAGGAUGAAGGCCCUCGGGUUGUAAACUGCUUUUUGUACGGAACGAAAAGGUUUCUAUUAAUACUAGGAGCUCAUGACGGUACCGUAAGAAUAAGCACCGGCUAACUACGUG
rnacentral:rRNA from 1 species